AGUGAACGCUGGCGGUAGGCCUAACACAUGCGAGUCGAACGGCAGCACAGUAAGAGCUUGCUCUUACGGUUGGCGAGUGGCGGACGGGUGAGGAAUACAUCGGAAUCUACUUUUUCGUGGGGGAUAACGUAGGGAAACUUACGCUAAUACCGCAUACGACCUACGGGUGAAAGCAGGGGAUCUUCGGACCUUUCGCGAUUGAAUGAGCCGAUGUCGGAUUAGCUAGUUGGCGAGGUAAAGGCCCACCAAGGCGACGAUCCGUAGCUGGUCUGAGAGGAUGAUCAGCCACACUGGAACUGAGACACGGUCCAGACUCCUACGGGAGGCAGCAGUGGGGAAUAUUGGACAAUGGGCGCAAGCCUGAUCCAGCCAUGCCGCGUGGGUGAAGAAGGCCUUCGGGUUGUAAAGCCCUUUUGUUGGGAAAGAAAAGCAGCAGGUUAAUCCCCCGCUGUUCUGACGGUACCCAAACAAUAAGCCCCGGCUAACUUCGUG
rnacentral:rRNA from 1 species